rfam:Beauveria bassiana D1-5 contig01031, whole genome shotgun sequence.
AUGUACGGCCAUAGCCGAGCGAAAGAUCUGGAUCCCGGAAAAACUCGGAUAGAUAACCGCUUGAGCGCCAGAUUAGUAGUUGGGUCGGUGACGACCAGCGAACACCGGGUGCUGUACAUU